CUGAACCUGAACCUGAACCUGAGAGAAGACUUCUUGUGCUUCAUCUCCACUGCUGAGACAACAGGAUUCCAAUCAUUUGCUCAAUGCUGGAGGGGAGCAUGUGCAUGCCUCUGAUUGCAGGAGACACUUCCUGGUCCAGUCCUCGGUCUUGGACUGCUGGGACCCUAGGAGAUCCUCCCCGAUCGAGAUGGCAAGGCUGAAGUCCACCCUCUGGACUACCGGACAGGGACCAAACUGGUGGUAGUUGUGGUUGAAGUGGUUGAGGGACAUUACAAUGCUGGCACCUGAAAGCAACAGAACAGCGUCCCCAUUGAGCCUGUCUUUCAACAUGCGUGCCAUGCAGGCCGCCCCACCUACAUGGCUACAGGCGCCUGUCAUUGACUCAACCCCA